CCAGGAAUGAAGCCUCUCAAAAUAAGCACAGAGCGGUGAGCAGCGUGGUUGUGUGGCCCUGCCAGCCAUGCAACAGUGUCUGCACUGCAUCUGUGAACCUCCUGGAGGAUUUCCAGCAGAGCCAACCAGGACCUGAAGGCUGCCAACAGCCACGUGAGUGAGCUUGGAAGUGCAUCCUCUCCAAGUUGAGCCCUCAGAUGACUGCAGCCCCAGCCAACCCCUUCACUGCUUCCUUGGGAGAGAGCCUGAGUCAGAGUCCAAGCUUGAUCCUCUCUGGGGACCUGACUGGUCAGGAACGGGCCGGUCCUGUUUCAGCAGCUUCACCUUCAGAGGUAUACAGGGCAGUCCAGUCUCACGUUGGAAAACUUCCCCUUACAGGAGAUAUUCUAGUAGAUUUUGUGAUUCGAAGUGUAAGCAGAGAAGAGGAAAAGCAAGGUUAGUAUUUACGAGGGAGGAAGUAGUGCAGGAGAUGGCCACGGAAGCUCACUUCUGGCUCUAACAGUCUAGUCUGUAGCACCCUGAUCCUGCCGAUGUCCCAUUGGAAAGCUGGACAAAAUGCCAAAGCAUCUGUCUGAAGAGACCUGGUAGCUAGAACUUGGCCAAGGUCCCGAGGAAAGAGGAACACAUUGAUGUGAACCAGUGGGCAUUUGACACAAAAGCAACCCACAUUGUGAAUGUUCAGUAGCCACCUACAGCUCCUCCACUGGACAGCACAGAUAGAGCUUAUACAGUUUCCUAUAUACAAUAUCUACUAUGCAAGGGAAACUUUCCAGGCAUAUGAGAAAGUAGGACCAAAAGAAAACAAAAGUAGGUAAUAGAAACAGAUCCAGGGAUGAGAAUAAUCAGAAAUAGAUUUUUAAAUAACAAGAUUCAUAUAUUCAAGAAAUUAGAAGACAAAUGGGAAUUUAGCAGAAAACUCAAUGCACCAAAUGAAAAUUCCAGAACUGAAAAAUGCAAUAACUGAAAUUAAGUGCUGAAUAGAUAGAUUUGACAGCAGAUUGGUCACAGUCAAAUAAAAGACUAGGAAACUGGAAGACUGGCCA
rnacentral:lncRNA from 13 species